CAGUCGCCGCGGUAAUACGGAGGGUGCAAGCGUUAAUCGGAAUUACUGGGCGUAAAGCGCACGCAGGCGGUUUGUUAAGUCAGAUGUGAAAUCCCCGAGCUUAACUUGGGAACCGCAUUUGAAACUGGCAAGCUAGAGUCUCGUAGAGGGGGGUAGAAUUCCAGGUGUAGCGGUGAAAUGCGUAGAGAUCUGGAGGAAUACCGGUGGCGAAGGCGGCCCCCUGGACAAAGACUGACGCUCAGGUGCGAAAGCGUGGGGAGCAAACAGGAUUAGAUACCCCGGUAGUCCCUGUCUCUUAUAC
rnacentral:rRNA from 1 species